rnacentral:rRNA from 1 species
GACGAACGCUGGCGGCGUGCUUAACACAUGCAAGUCGAGCGGUAAGGCCCUUUCGGGGGUACACGAGCGGCGAACGGGUGAGUAACACGUGGGUGACCUGCCCUCAGCUCUGGGAUAAGCCUGGGAAACUGGGUCUAAUACUGGAUAUGACUCCACGGUGCAUGUCGUGGGGUGGAAAGCCUUGUGCGGCUGAGGAUGGGCCCGCGGCCUAUCAGCUUGUUGGUGGGGUGAUGGCCUACCAAGGCGACGACGGGUAGCCGGCCUGAGAGGGCGACCGGCCACACUGGGACUGAGACACGGCCCAGACUCCUACGGGAGGCAGCAGUGGGGAAUAUUGGACAAUGGGCGCAAGCCUGAUCCAGCGAUGCCGCGUGUGUGAAGAAGGCCUGCGGGUUGUAAAGCACUUUCAGUAGGGAAGAAAA